CGGGUGAGUAAUGUAUGGGGAUCUGCCUGAUGGCGGGGGAUAACUACUGGAAACGGUAGCUAAUACCGCAUAACGUCGCAAGACCAAAGAGGGGGACCUUCGGGCCUCUUGCCAUCGGAUGUGCCCAGAUGGGAUUAGCUAGUAGGUGGGGUAACGGCUCACCUAGGCGACGAUCCCUAGCUGGUCUGAGAGGAUGAUCAGCCACACUGGGACUGAGACACGGCCCAG
rnacentral:rRNA from 1 species